rnacentral:rRNA from 1 species
GCCCUUCCUACGGGAGGCAGCAGUAGGGAAUUUUCGGCAAUGGGGGAAACCCUGACCGAGCAACGCCGCGUGAACGACGAAGUACUUCGGUAUGUAAAGUUCUUUUAAGAGGGAAGAAUGGCCCGUGGAAAAGCGGGCGUGACGGUACCUUUUGAAUAAGCCCCGGCUAACUAUGUGCCAGCAGCCGCGGUAAUACAUAGGGGGCAAGCGUUAUCCGGAAUUAUUGGGCGUAAAGGGUGCGUAGGUGGCCAUUUAAGUCUUUGGUGUAAGUUCAGCGCUCAACGCUGUGAUGCUAAAGAAACUGGGAGGCUUGAGUGUGGUAGAGGCAAGUGGAAUUCCAUGUGUAGCGGUAAAAUGCGUAAAUAUAUGGAGGAACACCGGUGGCGAAGGCGGCUUGCUGGACCACAACUGACACUGAGGCACGAAAGCGUGGGGAGCAAACAGGAUUAGAUACCCUGGUAGUCCACGCCGUAAACGAUGAGUACUAAGCGUAGGGGAAAUUCUGUGCUGUAGUUAACGCAAUAAAUACUCCGCCUGAGUAGUACGUACGCAAGUAUGAAACUCAAAGGAAUUGACGGAAGGGC